AUGAGAAUGUUCAGAAUCAAGGAGCCAGGGAACAGUCUUUUGAUUCCCCUUAUUUUUCUCAGCAUUCAGAGUUUGAUGUACUUUCUACAAGUGCUUCAUGGGGAUACUAUGGAUGUUCCUGCACAACCAUCACCUCAGGCUGUUCUCACUGGUCAACCAGUGGUGGAGGGGUCUAGUGGGGGGUCAGUUCAGUCGUCUGGACAAACCCAGUCCUCUUCCGAUGAUACUUUGGCGGUGCUUCGAAUGGCAGUUGCUCGUCUAGGACUUGAUGAGUCACCUGUACAAUCUGCCCAAACAAAUGUGUUUUUCAGACAGGCCACAGCUGCAACUUCUUUUGCCAUGCCACCAUGUAAGGAUUUUGUGGCUGAAUUCUCUAAUGCUCUCACUGGUUCUGGUCCGCCUAAGCGGCACUCAAAGAUUGCUCGAACGCUAGCAUCUAUGGCUGAAGCAGAUGCUAUCGGGGUGGGUCGUGCGCCGGAAAUAGAGCAGCCCGUGGCAGCUUUGGUGGUGUCCCCUGAUGAGGCCCUACGAGGAAAUGUGCGAUGUCCCAGUGCGCAAUGCGGUCGUACGGAUUCCUUGCUAAAAAAGGCAUAUGAGUCUGUUGCCUACAUUACUCGAGCAGAAAACACAAUCUGCCAGUUACUUCUGGCGGCCACCAGUACGCUGGAACCUGCAAAUGCGGAUCCCUCUGUUUCACAAUUUCUGCAAACUGCUCUGCUGACAACAGGCCUUGUGACCCGCGAGCUGGGUAGUCUCACAGCCACGCUUCUGGCAGCCCGACGCCAAGUGUGGCUUGCCCAAGCACGACUGCCGGAGGACUGUAAGAAGACCUUGAGAGAUCUUCCAUUUGUUCCCGGGCAUCUUUUUGGUCCAAAUGUUCCGGAACUGUUGGAGAAGAGGGUAAAGCUGUCUGAAGCCACUCGUCAACUGACACAGUUGCAGCGCAAUCCUGUGUUUAGGAUGCCAGCUGUUCAGACCCGACAUCACUAUGCCACACCGGAGCUACGUUUCCGCCGGCACGCUACACCUCAGCCACAGACCCCUCAAAGACCUCGUGUUCUUGAAGAUUCGAGAGUUUUUCGCCCACCACAUCGACAGCCUCCAGGAGGACCCCCGUCCAGCGUCCCCCGCGAACACUAA
ensembl:lncRNA